rnacentral:lncRNA from 1 species
CUUAAACCAGUCAGUGAACAGCUGGGUACCGAGAAAAUGAGCAGGUGAUUUCAGAUUUACGAAGUUGCAUCCUGCCCCCCUAGGCAGAGCCUUUGAGAGCAGAAGGUGGGAGGCUGACAGAGAUAGGUAGAUGUGGGCAUCUGAACCCAAAACACUAGCUCUGAUUACAUAUGGACCCUUGAACCAGCUGCUAGAAAGGGCUGCCAUAGUGCCAGGAAACUGUCCCUCUCUCAGUGUGGAGAAGCCAGUUCCAAACAGAGGCUGCUGCUUUACCUUGGGUCUCUGGAAUGAAAAUGAUGUGGAGCACAGCUGGAGCUGAUCUACAAUGGACAUGUGGCAUGAAUGAGAAGGAGCCAGGUUAGAAGGCUCUGUCUCUUCAGACCUUUGCAGAAGGGGCCUCCCCUCAUCCUGGAGGCAGUGAUAUCCCAGCAGAGCAGAGGGGUGGGACUCAGAAGACCUCUGUGACCUUGACUAAGUUCUUCUACCUCUCUCGGCACAAGUUUCCUUAUAAUUUGAGUUUCUCAAACUUCAAUCAUACUGCCAUGUG